UACGUAGGGUCCGAGCGUUGUCCGGAAUUAUUGGGCGUAAAGGGCUCGUAGGCGGUUUGUCACGUCGGGCGCGAAAACUCAGGGCUCAACCCUGAGCGUGCGUUCGAUACGGGCAGACUAGAGGUAUGCAGGGGAGAACGGAAUUCCUGGUGUAGCGGUGGAAUGCGCAGAUAUCAGGAGGAACACCGGUGGCGAAGGCGGUUCUCUGGGCAUUACCUGACGCUGAGGAGCGAAAGCAUGGGGAGCGAACAGG
rnacentral:rRNA from 1 species